rnacentral:lncRNA from 1 species
AUAACUAUGACUAUUUUGUUGGCCGGGUUUAAAAUAAGUACCGGGAGUCUUUUCUAACCAUCUGUGGAGAUACGGUGUGACCUAGCUAGGCUGGGUCGAGUUUUCUUUCUCCCUGUAGCUCAUUCAGCCGAGAGAUGAACAUCUACAAGCCUAAGACUGACUGGAUGAGGAGAGGCUGCUUUUUCAAGAUGGAAACGAAUCCCUCUGAGGAACCGGAAGCAGGGAGGAGGACCGACGGAUGAACGGAUGACUCUGCUUGCAGGGCUACCCAUUUCUGAUUCCUAAGAGGAUGGAAACUAGAAUACCUGGAUGAAAAUGGAUAGAUGAAGAAGCUUCUGGUUGAGGAUGACCUUCCCUCCCCACCCCACUUCAGCUGGAACUAAGGAGCCGGAAGCAGGGAGGAGGACCAACAGAUGAACGGAUGACCUGCUUGUCGGGCUUCCCAUUACUUAUUUUAAAAAAAAUGGAGUCUGGUAUACAUGGAUGAGACUGGCUGGAUGAAGAAGCUGCAGGUUGAGGAUCCCCUUGCCCUUCCCACCCCACUUAAGCUGGAACUAAGGAGCCGGAAGCAGGAAGGAGGACCAACAGAUGAACGGAUGACCUGCUUGUCGGGCUUCCCAUUUCUGAGUUUGCAAAAAUGGAGCCUGGAUGAGAGUGGCUAGAUGAAGAAGCUUUUGGUUGAGGAUGACCUUUCCCUCCCCAUCCCACUUCAGCUGGAUCUAAGGAGCCGGAAGCAGGGAGGAGGACCAAUAGAUGACUGUUGACUCUGCUUAUUGAACUUGCCGUUUGAGAUUUGUGAGGUAGAUUUACUAAACCAAAAUUACUGGUCACACAUUGAUGUAAAAAGGACGGCAAUGCCUGGAGCAUUGCCUUCACAGCUACAAUCAUGAAACAAAGUGCAAGAGUUUUUUUAAAGGACAUAGAUAAGGAAGCACAACUUACACAAGAAAAUAUCAAAAUAAAUGAAAGUCUCUUUUACUUUGUUCCUAGCCAAAUAAGAAUUGUUACUAAUGUGACCUAGUUCGCCUAGGCCGAGAAGCUUUUUUUAUUUUACAGGAUGGAGAUUGUUAUAGGAAACAUCUCAAGCCAUUACUUCAGGAGAAUGAAAGAUGUCUGGCAACCGGAGGCAGGGAAUGACUGAUGAACCUACUUGCUCAACAUUACAUCUGUGAUACAUGAGAUUCGCCAAGAUGUCAGCCAUCAACGACAUAGGAAGAUGGCUUACCGGCUACCGCUGCCAAGCCCACCACUUACCAGAACAAGAAAUUAAUUAAAACCACCAACCCCACCCCUUAGCAGAACAAGAAAUUGAUAAAAAUUCACUGCAACAAAUGAAAUUAGAAUAUAAUUCCUGACUUUGGACUAAGUACUUUUUUAAGGCUAUGGGACACCCCCGUCCUGCCUAGUUGAAUCAGCCUGUCUCAUGCACUAAAAAACGGUGCUCAAACCUUUGAGAAUUCUUUUCAGUCAAAAAUCAUCAAGACAUGGAAAUUACACUGUGCUUAUGUUGUUGCUUUUGUUUGCAUGUUCGCAUGAUUUCACUGUUCCAUUUUGGCAUGUGUUGUUCCUGCAUGUUUUAUCAGAUCGCACCUUUUUGUUUUUAAGAAGCAAAAAGAUAACCACAGUGUAUGGCCAUAGUCUGACAAUUAUUACAUUAAAAAACUCAAAACAUAUUAAGCUAAAUUUAAAACUAAUCAUUGAAAAUAACUAAAAUGAAAUCAACAGCAUUUCAUUGCAUAAUGUAUUUUGAGGGGGGGGGGGGUCAUCCCAUAGCCUUUGCCUCCCUUUCGCACCUAAUUCUUUGAUGUCACCAAAAGCAUCGACAUAAAAAAAAAUCUGGAAAAAAGCAGAACUAUUUUGGUCACGUUGGUGGUAUUGAUAUUUUUUCAGGGAAGUUGCUUUUUCAUUGAAAAGUCUCCCUUUCGACAAUGAAAAACCACUGACUUAUUAAAAUAUUUAAAUAAUUGUUUGAAGUGAGGUUCCUUCUAUCAUUUUCCUUAACUUACUAUUGACCAUCCUAAAUCAAACGAGGAUGACAACGGAUACCUCUGAUGAGGAAGAAGCCACUGGUUGAGGAUGACAUUGCACUCCCCGUCCCAGGAGCCAGAAGCAGGGAGGAAGACCAACAGAUGAACUGAUGAUUCUGCAGUGAGCUAGCCAUUUCUGAUUCUCAAGAAGUGUGGAUGAGUCUUGGAUUGAUGGAGACUUGGAGAUGCCGAAUUUGGAGACACACCAAACCACCAUCACAGAUGUACCUUUAGAAACCGGAAGCAGUGAGGAGGACCGACAGAUGAACUGAAGACCCUACUCACUGAGCUAGCCAUUUCUGAUUUUCAAGAAACCUGGCUGAGUAUUGAUGAAGACCUGGAUGGAGAGUCUGUUUGUUGACUUGACGCCUGAAACCAUCAUCACAUAUGACUGAGGAACCGGAAGCAGGGAGGAAGAACGACAGAAGAACGGAAGACCCUGCUUGCUGGGCUCUCCUUUUCCGUUUUUUAAAAAAAUGGAGCCUGUCAUACCUGGAUGAAAGUGGUCAGAUGAAGAGGCUUCUGUGUUUACGGCUGACUUUGCCCUCCUCACCCUACUUCUGCUGACACGAAGGAGGAGGAAGCAGGGAGGAGAACCUUUAGAGGACUGAACAUUAGCCACACUACUUGGAAUAUUAUCCAAAAGUUUAUCACAGGUUUAUAGUUAAAAAAAACUACUUAUGUGACUUAUUAUUCGAAGAGGAGGACAAGGAAGAACUGAGAUGUCACAGCGUCACAAUUCAGUGAUGACGAACUGCAGUGGACAUUAUAUAGUCACGCUACUUGGAAUUAAUCUAAAAGCCUUAUAAUUGGGUGUAUCAUAAGUCUUAAGUUUAAAAAAAGACUGCUCAUGUGAUUUAUUAUUCGAUGAAGAAGACAAGGAAGAACUGGGAUGUUACAGCGUCUGGGGCGCUGUCCUUAUACACAUUUUAAAAGAAAUAUAAAACCUUCCAAAGCAAACAAGAUUCAAAAACUCUUGAGUCAUCAAAACGGACAUUGGCUGAUACUUGUUUGUAUGAACAUUAAGAAAGAAACAGAUACCAUCUUGCCCGAAAAUCAACAUAAAAUCAUUAGAGGGUCAAACUAUAAUUUGUGACCUGAAGAAAAAGAGGUUGCUCUUUGAAAAGGUGAUGAUUGGGAAGUUAGAAAGAAAAAGUCAAUCAUCACUUUAUAGCCCAGAGUAAUGACUUUGUUUCUGAAUUGUUCCCUGUGUAUGAUGUGAUUUUCCCGGUGUACGGUGUGAUUAUUUCUUGUGUUCAGUGUGAUUAUUUCUGUGUACAGUGUGAUUAUUCCCUGUAUAGUGUGUUUUCUUCUAGUUAUUUUUGAUAUACUCCUACAAAAAUAGCGCAAAAUCAAAACUGUAGAGAAAGAAAUAACGAUGACGUUGGUGAGACCAAAAAUAUUUCGAAAAGUGUUAUUUUUCUCACCCACAAAAAAGACGGCCAAAAAAAAAAA